UUGAAAUGUACAAAGGCCUGAUCUUGUUUGAAGCCCGAACUUUUUUUUAAUAUAAAGAGAAGCUCUUGCGGUAAACUGUGCUGGGGCCUCCCAAAUAACACUUUUUUAAAUUUGAUCUGAAAUCAGGUGGGAUUACCCGCUGAACUUAAGCAUAUCAAUAAGCGGAGGAAAAGAAAAUAACAAUGAUUUCCCUAGUAACGGCGAGUGAAGAGGAAAGAGCUCAAAGUUGGAAACUGUUUGGCUUAGCUAAACCGUAUUGUAAACUGUAGAAACAUUUGCCUGGCACACCAGAUUAAUAAGUCCUUUGGAACAAGGCAUCAUGGAGGGUGAGAAUCCCGUCUUUGAUCUGAGUAGUUGUCUUUUGUGAUAUGUUUUCAAAGAGUCAGGUUGUUUGGGAAUGCAGCCUAAAUUGGGUGGUAAAUCUCACCUAAAGCUAAAUAUUUGCGAGAGUCCGAUAGCGAACAAGUACCGUGAGGGAAAGAUGAAAAGAACUUUGAAAAGAGAGUUAAACAGUAUGUGAAAUUGUUAAAAGGGAACCGUUUGGAGCCAGACUGGUUUGCUUGUAAUCAACCUAGAAUUCGUUUUGGGUGCACUUGCAGGCUAUACCUGCCAACAACAGUUUGAUUUGGAGGAAAAAAUUAAUAGGAAUGUAGCCUCUCGAGGUGUUAUAGCCUAUUAUCAUACUCUGGAUUGGACUGAGGAACGCAAGCGACAUGCCUUUAGGGCAAGAUUGCUG
rnacentral:rRNA from 1 species